ACAAAAACAAACAAAAA
rnacentral:sRNA from 1 species